rnacentral:rRNA from 1 species
GACGAACGCUGGCGGCGUGCCUAAUACAUGCAAGUAGAACGCUGAAGCGAGGAGCUUGCUCUUCUUGGAUGAGUUGCGAACGGGUGAGUAACGCGUAGGUAACCUGCCUUGUAGCGGGGGAUAACUAUUGGAAACGAUAGCUAAUACCGCAUAACAAUGGAUGACACAUGUCAUUUAUUUGAAAGGGGCAAUUGCUCCACUACAAGAUGGACCUGCGUUGUAUUAGCUAGUAGGUGAGGUAAUGGCUCACCUAGGCGACGAUACAUAGCCGACCUGAGAGGGUGAUCGGCCACACGGGGACUGAGACACGGCCCAGACUCCUACGGGAGGCAGCAGUAGGGAAUCUUCGGCAAUGGGGGCAACCCUGACCGAGCAACGCCGCGUGAGUGAAGAAGGUUUUCGGAUCGUAAAGCUCUGUUGUAAGUCAAGAACGGGUGUGAGAGUGGAAAGUUCACACUGGGAGGGUAGCUUACAAGAAAGGGACGGCUAAUUACGG